rnacentral:rRNA from 1 species
CAGGAUGAACGCUAGCUACAGGCUUAACACAUGCAAGUCGAGGGCAGCAUCAUCAAAGCUUGCUUUGAUGGAUGGCGACCGGCGCACGGGUGAGUAACACGUAUCCAACCUGCCGACAACACUGGGAUAGCCUUUCGAAAGAAAGAUUAAUACCGGAUGGCAUAGUUUUCCCGCAUGGGAUAAUUAUUAAAGAAUUUCGGUUGUCGAUGGGGAUGCGUUCCAUUAGGCAGUUGGCGGGGUAACGGCCCACCAAACCUACGAUGGAUAGGGGGUUCUGAGAGGAAGGUCCCCCACAUUGGAACUGAGACACGGUCCAAACUCCUACGGGAGGCAGCAGUGAGGAAUAUUGGUCAAUGGGCGAGAGCCUGAACCAGCCAAGUAGCGUGAAGGAUGACUGCCCUAUGGGUUGUAAACUUCUUUUAUAAAGGAAUAAAGUCGGGUAUGGAUACCCGUUUGCAUGUACUUUAUGAAUAAGGAUCGGCUAACUCCGUG